rnacentral:ncRNA from 1 species
AUCGACAGGCGCGUAACGGGUGCCCGCAAGGGCUUAAUCGGGAAGUCCGGCAGGGUGGUUCAGGUCAUCCGCAUCCGGCACUGCUCCCGCAACUGUGACUGGUGAGCGUUUCGCCAUUAUGCCAUUGGAAAGAAGCAUUUCUUUCCGAGAAGGCGGUGAUUUCGCGUUGAACCGGUAAGUCAGGAAACCGGCCCGUUGCCGUCGUUCUUC